AAUCAACGCUGGCGGCGUGCCUAACACAUGCAAGUCGCGCGCGAAAGGGGGGCAACUCCCAAGUAGAGCGGCGAACGGGUGAGUAACACGUGGGUAAUCUACCUUCGAGUGGGGAACAACACCGGGAAACUGGUGCUAAUUCCGCAUAACAUCGUCGGGGCUUCGGUUCUGACGCUCAAAGCUGGGGAUCGCAAGACCUAGCGCUUGAAGAUGAGCCCGCGUCCGAUUAGCUAGUUGGCGGGGUAAUGGCCCACCAAGGCUUCGAUCGGUAGCCGGCCUGGGAGGGCGGUCGGCCACACUGGCACUGAGACACGGGCCAGACUCCUACGGGAGGCAGCAGUGGGGAAUUUUGGGCAAUGGGCGAAAGCCUGACCCAGCAACGCCGCGUGAAGGACGAAAUCCCUCUGGGAUGUAAACUUCGAAAGUCGGGAAAGAAAUCGCACAUGAUAAUACCGUGUGUGGAUGACGGUACCCGACGUAAG
rnacentral:rRNA from 1 species